rnacentral:rRNA from 1 species
GGGGGGGGCAAGCGUUUGUUCGGAAUUACUGGGCGUAAAGGGCGCGCUGGCGGCCUGGGCAGUCUUGGGUGAAAGCCCCCGGCUCAACCGGGGAAGGGCCUGAGAAACCACUGGGCUGGAGUGCUGGAGAGGGAAGUGGAAUUCCCGGUGGAGCGGUGAAAUGCGUAGAUAUCGGGAGGAAGACCGGAGGCGAAGGCGGCUUCCUGGACAGACACUGACGCUGAGGCGCGAAAGCUAGGGGAGCAAACAGGAUUAGAUACCCUGGGUAGUCCUAGCCGUAAACGAUGGGUACUUGAUGUGGGGGGUGAAGAGAAGUCCCCUCCCGUGUCGGCGCUAACGCAAUAAGUACCCCGCUGGGAGUACGGCCGCAAGGCUG